UGCCCGAUAGUGUAACGGUAGCACGAAAGAUUCUGAUUCUUUUAGUCUAGGUUCGAAUCCUAGUCGGGCAA
rnacentral:tRNA from 1 species